rnacentral:rRNA from 1 species
GACGGAGGGUGCAAGCGUUUUUCGGAAUCACUGGGCGUAAAGCGCGUGUAGGCGGUUUGAUAAGUCGAAUGUGAAAGCCCGAGGCUCAACCUCGGAAGUACAUUCGAAACUGUCAGGCUUGAGUACGGGAGAGGGAAGUGGAAUUCCUGGUGUAGAGGUGAAAUUCGUAGAUAUCAGGAGGAACACCGGUGGCGAAGGCGGCUUCCUGGACCGAUACUGACGCUGAGACGCGAAAGCGUGGGGAGCAAACAGG